UACGUAGGGCGCAAGCGUUGUCCGGAAUCAUUGGGCGUAAAGAGCUCGUAGGCGGCCUGUUGCGUCCGCUGUGAAAUCCCGGGGCUUAACCCCGGGCGUGCAGUGGAUACGGGCUGGCUGGAGGCAGGCAGGGGAGAACGGAAUUCCCGGUGUAGCGGUGAAAUGCGCAGAUAUCGGGAGGUACACCGGUGGCGAAGGCGGUUCUCUGGGCCUGUACUGACGCUGAGGCGCGAAAGCGUGGGGAGCAAACAGG
rnacentral:rRNA from 1 species